UUAAAGCAAAGAGUUUGAUCCUGGCUCAGAAUGAACGCUAGCGAUAUGCUUAACACAUGCAAGUCUAACAUUGUUUGUCUGAUGGACCAAACAAGGUGGCGAACGGGUGCGUAACACGUGGGAAUCUACCAAGUAAUUUGGUUAAAUACCAAAUAAAAUAAUCAAAGCUCAAAAGCGUUACUUGAUGAGCCCGCGCAGUAUUAGGUAGUUGGUUAGGUAAAGGCUGACCAAGCCUACGAUGCUUAGCUGGUCUUUUCGGAUGAUCAGCCACACUGGGACUGAGACACGGCCCAGACUCCUAUGGGAGGCAGCAGUGAGGAAUCUUGGACAAUGGGCGAAAGCCUGAUCCAGCAAUAUCGCGUGAGUGAAGAAGGGGGAUUUCCUCGUAAAGCUCUUUCGUUGAAAUUUCAAACAAAAAUGAGAAAUUCAAAAAAGAAGCCCCGGCUAACUCUGUGCCAGCAGCCGCGGUAAGACAGGGGGGGCAAGUGUUAUUCGGAAUAAUUAGGCGUAAAGGGUACGUAGGCGGUAAAUACGAUUUCAGGUGAAAGUCAUCAGCUUAACUGAUGAAAUGCGUGAGUAAUCGCUUUACUAGAGUAAGAAAGAGGAGAGUGGAAUUUCGUAAGGAGAGCUAAAAUUCAUAGAUAUACGAAGGAACACCAAGGGCGAAGGCAACUCUCUGGGUCUAUACUGACGCUGAGGUACGAAAGCAUGGGGAGCAAACAGGAUUAGAUACCCUGGUAGUCCAUGCCGUAAACGAUGAGAAUUCGUGCUUGGGUCCAAACGACUCUGGCGCUUAGCUAACGCGUUAAAUUCUCCGCCUGGGGAGUACGAUCGCAAGAUUGAAACUCAAAGGAAUUGACGGGGGCCUGCACAAGCGGUGGAGCAUGUGGUUUAAUUCGAUACAACGCGCAAAACCUUACCAGUCCUUGACAUAUGAGAAUAAUUUUUCGGGUUAUGCUGAAAAAUCAAUUUCAUACAGGUGCUGCAUGGCUGUCGUCAGCUCGUGUCGUGAGAUGUUGGGUUAAGUCCUAUAACGAGCGCAACCCUCGUGUUGUGUUGAUUUUCGCAACAGACUGCCUGUGAUAUACAGGAGGAAGGUGGGGAUGACGUCAAGUCCUCAUGGCCCUUAUGGGCUGGGCUACACACGUGCUACAAUGGCAAUUACAGAAGGAAGCAAUACUGUGAAGUGGAGCGAAUCCCUAAAGAUUGCCUCAGUUCGGAUUGUUCUCUGCAACUCGAGAACAUGAAGUUGGAAUCGCUAGUAAUCGCGGAUCAGCAUGCCGCGGUGAAUACGUUCUCAGGCCUUGUACACACCGCCCGUCACACCCUGGGAAUGAAUUUUAUCUAAAGUAGUGGAAAAUAUCCAAUCAUGAUUUUGUUUUAAACAACUUCAUUCUUGGUAAUAUUAGUACACUGCGUCGGUGGAGUUCGUAACUGAGGUGAAGUCGUAACAAGGUAGCCGUAGGGGAACCUGCGGCUGGAU
rnacentral:rRNA from 1 species